UUCCUCCUCGCCUAGCGUUGCUAAUCCGGCCACGAAUCACACAUGCAUCACCACCAUUGAAUCCCUCUCUUACUUCUCUUCAAAUCCAUGUCCAUCGAUCACUCAAACAUCCACGUUUUGACUUCAAAUUUAAGUGAAGCAGUGAAGAACAAUCGGAGAAUCUCUAUGGAUUCUGGCUUGGUUUUGAGCUCUGGCGAGCUUCCUUGACCACGAUUUGCGACCUUCAUGGUUCCUGGUUUGGAUGAGUUCUGGAGCUGUAGUAACAUGGGAAAGAGCAACAACUUAGUUUGGGAUCGAAAGAGGAGCAGCAGCCUCGGCUCUGCGUUUUCAACUUGUGGAGGAGUAAGAGAAGCAGUGUCAAUAUUUUGAAUAUUCAAACCUUCCUCAAGACCAAUAUUGAUGGAAUUGGUGGAUUCAUAUGGCUGAGCAAUGGCCAAGUUUAUGGGAUUUGAGGUCAUAUGAUGUGUAUUACCAGUAACACCUAUCCACACAUCAUUGUUCAAAGAACUAGAGGCACCAUGAGACUGUGCAGCCAUAGCACUUAGAGUAGCAUGAGGUUGAGCUCCUUGAAAUGCAUAGUUGUUUCUAUGCUAACAGUCUAAAGCUACAUGACCUCAACCUCCACAAAUUUGACACACAAGAAACACAACAUAAGUGAUAAUGGAGUUAUACUUGAGAGCAGUAUGACCGUUCUUGCAGCAGAUUUGACACUCAGGAGUAGCCACUGAUUGAGUUCUGUU